CCUACGGGAGGCAGCAGUGGGGAAUUUUGGACAAUGGGCGCAAGCCUGAUCCAGCCAUGCCGCGUGAGUGAAGAAGGCCUUCGGGUUGUAAAGCUCUUUCGGCAGGAACGAAAUGGUUCGUGCUAAUACCACGGACUGAUGACGGUACCUGAAGAAGAAGCACCGGCUAACUACGUGCCAGCAGCCGCGGUAAUACGUAGGGUGCAGGCGUUAAUCGGAAUUACUGGGCGUAAAGCGUGCGCAGGCGGUUUCUUAAGUCAGAUGUGAAAGCCCCGGGCUUAACCUGGGAACUGCGUUUGAAACUGGGAGACUUGAGUGUGGCAGAGGGGGGUGGAAUUCCACGUGUAGCAGUGAAAUGCGUAGAUAUGUGGAGGAACACCGAUGGCGAAGGCAGCCCCCUGGGUUAACACUGACGCUCAUGCACGAAAGCGUGGGGAGCAAACAGGAUUAGAUACCCUGGUAGUCCACGCCCUAAACUAUGUCAACUGGUUGUCGGGGGAUUAACUCCCUUGGUAACGAACUAACGCGUGAAGUUGACCGCCUGGGGAUACGGCCGCAAGGUUAAACUCAAAUGAAUUGACGGCUGAGAGNGCGACGACGACGACGAGGAGAG
rnacentral:rRNA from 1 species